rnacentral:miRNA from 1 species
GACAUUGUUAUUCAAAAUAUGGUCCAUUUAUAUAUAUAUACAUGUAAAUGGACCAUAUUUUGAAUAACAAUGUC